AUUGAACGCUGGCGGAAUGCUUUACACAUGCAAGUCGAACGGCAGCACGGACUCCGGUCUGGUGGCGAGUGGCGAACGGGUGAGUAAUGUAUCGGAACGUGCCCAGUCGUGGGGGAUAACGUAGUGAAAAUUACGCUAAUACCGCAUACGAUCUAUGGAUGAAAGCGGGGGAUCGCAAGACCUCGCGCGAUUGGAGCGGCCGAUAUCAGAUUAGGUAGUUGGUGGGGUAAAGGCCCACCAAGCCAACGAUCUGUAGCUGGUCUGAGAGGACGACCAGCCACACUGGUACUGAGACACGGUCCAGACUCCUACGGGAGGCAGCAGUGGGGAAUUGUGGACAAUGGGCGAAAGCCUGAUCCAGCCAUUCCGCGUGCAGGAUGAAGGCCCUCGGGUUGUAAACUGCUUUUGUACAGAACGAAAAGGUUUCUACUAAUACUAGGAGCUCAUGACGGUACUGUAAGAAUAAGCACCGGCUAACUACGUGCCAGCCGCCGCCGUAA
rnacentral:rRNA from 1 species